CAAUAGCGUAUAUUUAAGUUGUUGCAGUUAAAAAGCUCGUAGUUGGAUUUCGGGGCAGCCUGGCUGGUCCGCCGCAAGGCGAGUACUGGUCAGCCGCCCUUCCUCUCGAAAGCCCCGACUGCUCUUUACUGCAGUGGUCGGGUAGUUCGGGACGUUUACUUUGAAAAAAUUAGAGUGUUCAAGGCAGGCCGUCGCCUGAAUACAUUAGCAUGGAAUAAUGGAAGAGGACCUCGGUCCUAUUUUGUUGGUUUCCAGGGCCGAAGUAAUGAUUAAGAGGGACAGUUGGGGGCAUUCGUAUUUAAUUGUCAGAGGUGAAAUUCUCGGAUUUAUGAAAGACGGACAACUGCGAAAGCAUUUGCCAAGGAUGUUUUCAUUA
rnacentral:rRNA from 1 species